GACGAACCGAGCGAACGUUAUUCGGAAUCACUGGGCGUAAAGGGUGCGUAGGCGGGUCUUUAAGUCAGGGUGAAAUCCUGGAGCUCAACUCCAGAACUGCCUUUGAUACUGAGGAUCUUGAGUUCGGGAGAGGUGAGUGGAACUGCGAGUGUAGAGGUGAAAUUCGUAGAUAUUCGCAAGAACACCAGUGGCGAAGGCGGCUCACUGGCCCGAUACUGACGCUGAGGCACGAAAGCGUGGGGAGCAAACAGGG
rnacentral:rRNA from 1 species